rnacentral:rRNA from 1 species
UACGUAGGGACCGAGCGUUGUCCGGAUUCAUUGGGCGUAAAGAGCUCGUAGGCGGCUGCUCAAGUCGAACGUGAAAACUCGGGGCUCAACUCCGAGCCUGCGUUCGAUACUGGAUGGCUAGAGUCUGGUAGGGGGAUCUGGAAUUCCUGGUGUAGCGGUGGAAUGCGCAGAUAUCAGGAGGAACACCGGUGGCGAAGGCGGGAUCCUGGGCCAGUACUGACGCUGAGACGCGAAAGCGUGGGGAGCGAACAGG